CAGUCGCCGCGGUAAUACGGAGGGUGCAAGCGUUAAUCGGAAUUACUGGGCGUAAAGCGUGCGCAGGCGGUUUGUUAAGACAGAUGUGAAAUCCCCGGGCUCAACCUGGGAACUGCAUUUGUGACUGGCAAGCUAGAGUGUGGCAGAGGGGGGUGGAAUUCCGCGUGUAGCAGUGAAAUGCGUAGAUAUGCGGAGGAACACCGAUGGCGAAGGCAGCCCCCUGGGCCAACACUGACGCUCAUGCACGAAAGCGUGUGGAGCAAACAGGAUUAGAUACCCCAGUAGUCCCUGUCUCUUAUAC
rnacentral:rRNA from 1 species